AGAGUUUGAUCCUGGCUCAGAACGAACGCUGGCGGCGUGGAUAAGACAUGCAAGUCGGACGCUUGUAUUUUUAUAGCAAUAUGAGGAUACGGGAGUGGCGAAAGGGUGCGUAACACGUGGGUAAUUUGUCCAAGAGUUCAGGAUAAUUCGCUGAAAGGCGGAGUAAUACUGGAUGUGGAUAUUGACUGGGAACAGUUGAUUUCUAAAGCCGGGGACCGCAAGGCCUGGUGCUCAUGGGUAAGCCCGCGACCUAUCAGCUAGUUGGUGAGGUAAGAGCUCACCAAGGCGGAGACGGGUAGCUGGUCUGAGAGGACGACCAGCCACACUGGAACUGAGACACGGUCCAGACACCUACGGGUGGCAGCAGUCGAGAAUUUUUCUCAAUGGGGGAAACCCUGAAGGAGCGACGCCGCGUGGGGGAUGAAGGGCUUCGGCUCGUAAACCCCUGUCAUUUGUGAGCAAGUGUUAUUGUUUAAGAGAUGAUGACAUUGAUAGUAGCAAAAGAGGAAGGGACGGCUAACUCUGUGCCAGCAGCCGCGGUAAUACAGAGGUCCCAAGCGUUGUUCGGAAUCACUGGGCGUAAAGGGUGCGUAGGCGGUAUAGUAAGACUUGGGUGAAAUCUCCAUGCUUAACGUGGAGGGAGCCUGGGAGACUGCUGUGCUAGAGGAUUGGAAGGGAGACUGGAAUUCUUGGAGUAGCAGUGAAAUGCGUAGAUAUCAAGAGGAACACCAGUGGCGGAGGCGAGUCUCUGGACAAGACCUGACGCUGAGGCACGAAGGCCAGGGGAUCAAACGGGAUUAGAUACCCCGGUAGUCCUGGCAGUAAACGGUGCACACUUGCUGUGUGAGGGAUCGACCCCUUACGUGGCGAAGCCAACGCGAUAAGUGUGCCGCCUGGGGGGUACGGUCGCAAGACUAAAACUCAAAUGAAUUGACGG
rnacentral:rRNA from 1 species